UACGUAGGGUGCGAGCGUUGUCCGGAAUUACUGGGCGUAAAGAGCUCGUAGGUGGUUUGUCGCGUUGUUCGUGAAAACUCACAGCUUAACUGUGGGCGUGCGGGCGAUACGGGCAGACUGGAGUACUGCAGGGGAGACUGGAAUUCCUGGUGUAGCGGUGAAAUGCGCAGAUAUCAGGAGGAACACCGGUGGCGAAGGCGCCGCUCUGGGCCGAUACUGACGCUGAGGAGCGAAAGCGUGGGGAGCAAACAGG
rnacentral:rRNA from 1 species